AGCGAACGCUGGCGGCAGGCCUAACACAUGCAAGUCGAACGAACCCUUCGGGGUUAGUGGCGGACGGGUGAGUAACACGUGGGAACGUGCCUUUAGGUUCGGAAUAACUCAGGGAAACUUGUGCUAAUACCGAAUGUGCCCUUCGGGGGAAAGAUUUAUCGCCUUUAGAGCGGCCCGCGUCUGAUUAGCUAGUUGGUGAGGUAGUGGCUCACCAAGGCUACGAUCAGUAGCUGGUCUGAGAGGAUGACCAGCCACAUUGGGACUGAGACACGGCCCAAACUCCUACGGGAGGCAGCAGUGGGGAAUCUUGCGCAAUGGGCGAAAGCCUGACGCAGCCAUGCCGCGUGGAUGAUGAAGGUCUUAGGAUUGUAAAAUCCUUUCACCGGUAAAGAUAAUGACUGUAGCCGGAGAAGAAGCCCCGGCUAACUUCGUGCCAGCAGCCGCAGUAAUAC
rnacentral:rRNA from 1 species